rnacentral:sRNA from 1 species
ACUCUAAGAUAGCUUGGAAGAUGUUUCGGCCCAGAGUUUCGGCUGCUGUGGCUUGAAGUAAAAUUUUGGAACGUCCUGCAUUAGCGGGACAAC